UACGUAGGGUCCGAGCGUUGUCCGGAAUUAUUGGGCGUAAAGCGUGCGCAGGCGGUUUUGUAAGUCAGAUGUGAAAUCCCCGGGCUUAACCUGGGAACUGCGUUUGAAACUACAAGGCUAGAGUGUGGCAGAGGGGGGUGGAAUUCCACGUGUAGCAGUGAAAUGCGUAGAGAUGUGGAGGAACACCGAUGGCGAAGGCAGCCCCCUGGGUUAACACUGACGCUCAGGCACGAAAGCGUGGGGAGCAAACAGG
rnacentral:rRNA from 1 species